ACAGCAGUAGCCGCGGUAACACGGAGGAUCCGAGCGUUAUCCGGAAUUAUUGGGUUUAAAGGGUGCGUAGGCGGAUAGAUAAGUCAGUGGUGAAAGACGGUGGCUCAACCAUCGCAGUGCCGUUGAUACUGUUUAUCUUGAAUAUGGAUGAGGUAGGCGGAAUGUGGCAAGUAGCGGUGAAAUGCAUAGAUAUGCCACAGAACACCGAUUGCGAAGGCAGCUUACCAAGGCAAAAUUGACGCUGAGGCACGAAAGCGUGGGGAUCGAACAGGAUUAGAUACCCCUGUAGUCCCUGUCUCUUAUAA
rnacentral:rRNA from 1 species